rnacentral:rRNA from 1 species
GAGUAACACGUGGAUAACCUACCUAUAAGACUGGGAUAACUUCGGGAAACCGGAGCUAAUACCGGAUAAUAUUUUGAACCGCAUGGUUCAAAAGUGAAAGACGGUCUUGCUGUCACUUAUAGAUGGAUCCGCGCUGCAUUAGCUAGUUGGUAAGGUAACGGCUUACCAAGGCAACGAUGCAUAGCCGACCUGAGAGGGUGAUCGGCCACACUGGAACUGAGACACGGUCCAGACUCCUACGGGAGGCAGCAGUAGGGAAUCUUCCGCAAUGGGCGAAAGCCUGACGGAGCAACGCCGCGUGAGUGAUGAAGGUCUUCGGAUCGUAAAACUCUGUUAUUAGGGAAGAACAUAUGUGUAAGUAACUGUGCACAUCUUGACGGUACCUAAUCAGAAAGCCACGGCUAACUACGUGCCAGCAGCCGCGGUAAUACGUAGGUGGCAAGCGUUAUCCGGAAUUAUUGGGCGUAAAGCGCGCGUAGGCGGUUUUUUAAGUCUGAUGUGAAAGCCCACGGCUCAACCGUGGAGGGUCAUUGGAAACUGGAAAACUUGAGUGCAGAAGAGGAAAGUGGAAUUCCAUGUGUAGCGGUGAAAUGCGCAGAGAUAUGGAGGAACACCAGUGGCGAAGGCGACUUUCUGGUCUGUAACUGACGCUGAUGUGCGAAAGCGUGGGGAUCAAACAGGAUUAGAUACCCUGGUAGUCCACGCCGUAAACGAUGAGUGCUAAGUGUUAGGGGGUUUCCGCCCCUUAGUGCUGCAGCUAACGCAUUAAGCACUCCGCCUGGGGAGUACGACCGCAAGGUUGAAACUCAAAGGAAUUGACGGGGACCCGCACAAGCGGUGGAGCAUGUGGUUUAAUUCGAAGCAACGCGAAGAACCUUACCAAAUCUUGACAUCCUUUGACAACUCUAGAGAUAGAGC